rnacentral:lncRNA from 1 species
UGUUGAUGCACAUUUUACAUUAAUUUUUCUUUGAAAAGAGCGUAAAAGAAGAACUCGACUUUUGUAACAACUUUCUUCAAUAUUUUUAAAUUAUAAUUUUCAAGUGAGGUAGAUCUCAUUGCAGGGGACGUCCAAAGGUUUCGCGGGUCCAAUGACCUUUGCCUUCUGCCCUUCCCCUCCACCCUUUCGCUCAUACGCGUGGAAUUCCGUCAAACUUCGGCAACUUCCGCCCUUGGAUUCGGAGAUUAUUAGCAAUCGGCCAUUUCCGGUGAGCAUCCUUCGUACUUCGUGUAUUUCCGUCCGUGCAUCAAACGUGGUUGUUUUGGAAGAGUCUAGCUGUCCAAUUUUUGCAGAUUUUUGUGCUUUCUUGUAGUUUUGUGUACUAUUAAUCAUGGCUGAAGAUGAUUCGAUCUUUGACCCCUCUGCGAUGAAGAAGAAAAAGAAGAAGAAGAAGACCGGGUUUGACAUCGAUGCAGCUUUGGGAGAUGGCGGAAAUGAAGCUUCGGAGACAACAGAAUCCUCACAGACGGGUGGCGACAAAGAAAAUCAGGAACCAUCAAAAUUUGAUGAUUUUGAUGGCGAUCUAGACUUGGACAGUAAGAAAAAGAAGAAGAAGAAAAAGACGCUGAACCUGGACGAAUUGGAGAGCGCUUUGCCUGAUGCUGGGAGCGGUGGAGGUGGAGCACCAGGUGAUGGAGAGGGUGGCGAUGAUUUUGAUGAUACGUUUGAUUUAGACAUGGAUUUCUCAAAAGCGAAAAAGAAGAAGAAAAAGCAGAAGGCCAACCUAGAGGAAUUAGUCGCGGAAGAUGACAGUAAAAAAACAGAGGACAAAGAUACUGGUACUAAAAUUAUUCAUUUUAUUUUAUUUUCCUAUCGGUUCUGGUUUAAUUCUGUAUACAAAGCCAAGUAG